AUUGAACGCUGGCGGAAUGCUUUACACAUGCAAGUCGAACGGCAGCACGGACUUCGGUCUGGUGGCGAGUGGCGAACGGGUGAGUAACAUAUCGGAACGUAUCUAAUAAUGGGGGAUAACGAGUCGAAAGAUUCGCUAAUACCGCAUACGCCCUACGGGGGAAAGCGGGGGAUCGCAAGACCUCGCGCGAUUGGAGCGGCCGAUAUCAGAUUAGGUAGUUGGUGGGGUAAAGGCCCACCAAGCCAACGAUCUGUAGCUGGUCUGAGAGGACGACCAGCCACACUGGAACUGAGACACGGUCCAGACUCCUACGGGAGGCAGCAGUGGGGAAUUUUGGACAAUGGGCGAAAGCCUGAUCCAGCCAUUCCGCGUGCAGGAUGAAGGCCCUCGGGUUGUAAACUGCUUUUGUACAGAACGAAAAGGCUUCUACUAAUACUAGGAGCUCAUGACGGUACUGUAAGAAUAAGCACCGGCUAACUACGUGCCAGCAGCCGCCGUAA
rnacentral:rRNA from 1 species